UACAGAGGUGGCAAGCGUUGUUCGGAAUUACUGGGCGUAAAGGGCGCGUAGGCGGCCAUCUAAGUCAGACGUGAAAUCCCCCGGCUUAACCGGGGAACUGCAUCUGAUACUGGAUGGCUUGAGUUCGGGAGAGGGAUGCGGAAUUCCAGGUGUAGCGGUGAAAUGCGUAGAUAUCUGGAGGAACACCGGUGGCGAAGGCGGCAUCCUGGACCGACACUGACGCUGAGGAGCGAAAGCCAGGGGAGCAAACAGG
rnacentral:rRNA from 1 species